rnacentral:lncRNA from 1 species
ACAUAUCUUUCGUCUAUGCUAGUGAGCUUAGAGAAUUGAGAUAGAUCUAUGGUCAUAUACCUUGAGCAUCCAUUAUCAAGGUAUCAUCUCUUGUUCCUAGCUUGUGAUGGUAUAUUUUUUUAUAAAAAAUGAUGAUUUUUAGGUAUCCAUUUGACCUUGGGUGUCUUAAAAAUCGAUCUACAUAGUUUAUCAUGUUGCAUUGAGUCAUUUGAAGUUCGUUU